AGCGGCGGACGGGUGAGCAACACGUGGGUAACCUGCCCAAGAGACUGGGAUAACACCUGGAAACAGAUGCUAAUACCGGAUAACAACACUAGACGCAUGUCUAGAGUUUGAAAGAUGGUUCUGCUAUCACUCUUGGAUGGACCCGCGGUGCAUUAGCUAGUUGGUAAGGUAACGGCUUACCAAGGCAAUGAUGCAUAGCCGAGUUGAGAGACUGAUCGGCCACAUUGGGACUGAGACACGGCCCAAACUCCUACGGGAGGCAGCAGUAGGGAAUCUUCCACAAUGGACGAAAGUCUGAUGGAGCAACGCCGCGUGAGUGAAGAAGGGUUUCGGCUCGUAAAGCUCUGUUGGUAGUGAAGAAAGAUAGAGGUAGUAACUGGCCUUUAUUUGACGGUAAUUACUUAGAAAGUCACGGCUAACUACGUGCCAGCAGCCGCGGUAAUACGUAGGUGGCAAGCGUUGUCCGGAUUUAUUGGGCGUAAAGCGAGUGCAGGCGGUUCAAUAAGUCUGAUGUGAAAGCCUUCGGCUCAACCGGAGAAUUGCAUCAGAAACUGUUGAACUUGAGUGCAGAAGAGGAGAGUGGAACUCCAUGUGUAGCGGUGGAAUGCGUAGAUAUAUGGAAGAACACCAGUGGCGAAGGCGGCUCUCUGGUCUGCAACUGACGCUGAGGCUCGAAAGCAUGGGUAGCGAACAGGAUUAGAUACCCUGGUAGUCCAUGCCGUAAACGAUGAGUGCUAAGUGU
rnacentral:rRNA from 1 species